rnacentral:tRNA from 1 species
AAAGUUUUAAGUUAAUUUAAACUAUUAACCUUCAAAGUUAAAUAUAUGUCAUAUCAUAAGCUUUA